rnacentral:rRNA from 1 species
GAUGAACGCUGACAGAAUGCUUAACACAUGCAAGUCUACUUGAAGCUAACUUCGGUUAGUGGAUGGUGGCGGACGGGUGAGUAACGCGUAAAGAACUUGCCUCACAGUUUGGGACAACAUUUGGAAACGAAUGCUAAUACCGGAUAUUAUGAUACUUCCGCAUGGAAGAAUCAUGAAAGCUAUAUGCGCUGUGAGAGAGCUUUGCGUCCCAUUAGCUAGUUGGAGAGGUAACGGCUCACCAAGGCGAUGAUGGGUAGCCGGCCUGAGAGGGUGAACGGCCACAAGGGGACUGAGACACGGCCCUUACUCCUACGGGAGGCAGCAGUGGGGAAUAUUGGACAAUGGACCAAAAGUCUGAUCCAGCAAUUCUGUGUGCACGAUGAAGUUUUUCGGAAUGUAAAGUGCUUUCAGUUGGGAAGAAGCAAGUGACGGUACCAACAGAAGAAGCGACGGCUAAAUACGUGCCAGCAGCCGCGGUAAUACGUAUGUCGCAAGCGUUAUCCGGAUUUAUUGGGCGUAAAGCGCGUCUAGGUGGUUAUAUAAGUCUGAUGUGAAAAUGCGGGGCUCAACUCCGUAUUGCGUUGGAAACUGUAUGACUAGAGUACUGGAGAGGUAAGCGGAACUACAAGUGUAGAGGUGAAAUUCGUAGAUAUUUGUAGGAAUGCCGAUGGGGAAGCCAGCUUACUGGACAGAUACUGACGCUAAAGCGCGAAAGCGUGGGUAGCAAACAGG